rnacentral:ncRNA from 1 species
ACAAAAGCGAUGACAGGAAGUAGUAGCAGCCCCCUGAUCUAUAGAGAGUCAGUGUUUGGUGGGAACUGACGGUAAAGAGCUGUGAAUCCAUCCGCGAGCUGAUAAUCCCAAUUCAGUAAGAUUAUCCGGUGCCUCCAAGCACCGUUAUCAACCGUUGAGUGGGGAGACUUUGUGUCUCCAACCAGGGUGGUAUCGCGGAAGUGAAAACUCUCGUCCCUUUA